rnacentral:rRNA from 1 species
GAUGAACGCUGGCGGCGUGCCUAAUACAUGCAAGUCGAGCGAACGGACGAGAAGCUUGCUUCUCUGAUGUUAGCGGCGGACGGGUGAGUAACACGUGGAUAACCUACCUAUAAGACUGGGAUAACUUCGGGAAACCGGAGCUAAUACCGGAUGAUAUUUUGAACCGCAUGGUUCAAAAGUGAAAGACGGUCUUGCUGUCACUUAUAGAUGGAUCCGCGCUGCAUUAGCUAGUUGGUAAGGUAACGGCUUACCAAGGCAACGAUGCAUAGCCGACCUGAGAGGGUGAUCGGCCACACUGGAACUGAGACACGGUCCAGACUCCUGCGGGAGGCAGCAGUAGGGAAUCUUCCGCAAUGGGCGAAAGCCUGACGGAGCAACGCCGCGUGAGUGAUGAAGGUCUUCGGAUCGUAAAGCUCUGUUAUUAGGGAAGAACAUAUGUGUAAGUAACUGUGCACAUCGUGACGGUACCUAAUCAGAAAGCAACGGCUAACUACGUG